AUAAUUUAUUAACCAAAGUUUUUAAUUAAACAAACUAAUUUGCAAUUCUUACCUCACUCAUUUUUUAUUUACAACCAAUGUCAUUUAGUAAACCUAUUCCGAUAUCAUAUUUCGAUGGUAUAUUUUUCGCGAGCUCUUCUAAUGUUCAUACUUGUGUAACUAAAUCUUGUAUCUUAUAACGGGAUAAUUUCGAAUGAUUCACUGCAUACGUUUAAAAAUACUUAAAAUGAAGUAAAACCUUCUAGUGUAAUUGCCAAUUGGUACCUAUAAAUAUUUUUAAAAUUGUUUAAACGAAACGAACAGAAUACAGUUUUUAGAACUUUUCCCGUCCUAUUAUGCCAUCAUCAGUGAAACCUGAAAGUGUCCCCAAAAAUCCAGGAGAAAAAAAUAUGGUGACUAAGAAGGCCAUUAGAUGCUGCAUCUCCUCCCAAUCCAAUGCCGCGUAAAAUGUUGGUCUAAAUAUGCACAAAUAAGUAAAGCGUAAGGCGGAAGAUCACCGUCCUGUUGAAAAGUCAAGUAAUCAUCCUAUAGUUGAUCAUUUUCAAUAAUAUCAGUAAAGGCAGAAUCACUCACAUCUUUCAGUAAUUUCCAGUCAAAUUUCCGGGUAAAAAAAUGGUCUCAUCUGUCGCCCAUCAACAACAAUACUGUUAAACUGUAUACACCAAUAAUAUGUUUCAUAACCUAACCACAAACGCAAAAAACUGAUCGGCAAACAAAAUCAUGCAGCUAUGCACAUUCAAGUCAAUCAACACAAUUGGUUGUGUACAAACAUUGUAAAAAGCAAUAGGUGGCAAAUAUUUUGGCAGGUAUAACUGUAUACUGGACUAUCUCGUUUAAUAUAUUUUUAUAAUAAAUAAAAGCAUAAUGUUUGAAAACUA
rnacentral:lncRNA from 1 species